UACGUAGGUGGCAAGCGUUGUCCGGAUUUACUGGGUGUAAAGGGCGUGUAGCCGGGCUGACAAGUCAGAUGUGAAAUCCGGGGGCUCAACCCCCGAACUGCAUUUGAAACUGUUGGUCUUGAGUAUCGGAGAGGCAGGCGGAAUUCCUAGUGUAGCGGUGAAAUGCGUAGAUAUUAGGAGGAACACCAGUGGCGAAGGCGGCCUGCUGGACGACAACUGACGGUGAGGCGCGAAAGCGUGGGGAGCAA
rnacentral:rRNA from 1 species